CUUCUGGCUAAAAUACUAAAUUUAGGAGGUUUUAAGACCACAUAAUUUUUGGUAAUACCAGGAAUUCUCAGCCUAUUUAGAAGUAUCCUAGAGUUUAAAAAUCCCUGAAUUCUGGCUAACUGUUGAGUAAGUCAACAGAACUACCAGGAAAAGAGAGAACUAGAGGGCACGGUUCCUCUUUCCUUUGCGGUGAGUGACUGUGAGGGGAUACGCAGGGGAAAGGGAAGGUGCCAUACAAGAAACUUCCUGGCCAACACUUGAGACUGAAUGUCUAGGCUCCUGUGUCCCCCCUGCCCUCCUGGACUAUGCUGGCGCUUGGCAGAAGGGAAGAAACAGCUGGGGAAACUUUUGGCGUGAGGUAGGGGUGGGGGCUAUCUGAAAUGAUUCCUUUUUAAUUUCUAGGUUGUGGUGCCCCCUACCCUUCCCUACCUCAGAAUUUUAAGCAUAGGCCAUAAUUAUGCAAAUGAAUUGAAAAAUAGAAAGAAAUUUUUAUAUAACAGUGAGCCAGCAACUUGGAUGGUCUUUUAAUGGCUCAUCACUUCAGAAAGGUUGAGAAUCCUUGGUUGAGACUGAUUGACUAGAAAGAGAAUUUAAAAUCUUACAUGAUUUUAAACCCUUUCAUGCCUAGGAGGAAAACGCUGUCCUUCAGAUAGAUAGCUCUUCAGAGGAUCCAGUUUAAACGGAGUUUUUUUUUUAGGUUGUCAUGUAUUCAUCCUAUUUUACCAUAAAGCAUUCCUUAGAGCAGUAGAAUGGGAAAGAACUUCCAGACAGCUUCUAGACCAAAUCCUGGAUUUCAGAUAGCCGGUGGACAUUCGGUCAAUACUUGUUAAGUGAGUGAAUAAAGUCUGCCUAACCUAGGAGAGUCUGCCCACAAAUCCUACACUGUGUCUUAAAAAUAUUGAAUUUGAAUGCCUAAAAUUGUGCAUUUUGCUGUGGUUUCUUACAGGCCCGCUCCUUCCCACCACUUUAUACCCACCCUGUUACCUGUCUGGCCCCUAUAAGCUUUUCUGUUCACAGAGAUUCACUCUGGGAACCUUUCAGGACAUGAUAUGCUCUGUUAGAAACUCGCAGGGAAGGAGUCCACGGCCGUCUCGACAAGCG
rnacentral:lncRNA from 1 species